GAGCCCUAAUCGUUUGAUAAAGGUGCCACACUUUAGAUAAGAAUAUGGUAGUGGAAACUAAGAGCCAACAGUUUAGGUAUAAAUCCUAGCUAGCUAAAUUUGGAGUAUUGAAGGCUGUAAAAAGUAUAGAAAAGUUUAUACUUAAGAGUUGGAUAUGGUCAUAUGGGGAGUCGGCUCGCUUUUUCUCUAAGCGUUGGCUGAAUGGUAAGACCACCGCUGAUGUUACUCGAAAUCUGAGAAAAAUGGUCGAUUGUCGAAAGUAGAACAGCUGUGUCUCACUCUAGAUGUGCUGGUAGAUAUAUGUCCAGCUGGACCAACAACACUACACCGUUGUAGCUAACGACGCUCUCCCAGCUGUGUCAAACGGCACGUAAAAUGAAGAUCAUUUAAUUUUACCCGUCUCUUCAUCCAUGGUCACCCCGCUUGUUCAACAGAUUUGUACCCACUAGCUAGUAGGAGGAAUUAUCGGUAGGGAAAGGAAAUCUUUCUCUUUCCAGGUUUAUAUUGAGUUUGACCGAAAUAAACUUUCAACUAAACUAAUUCUGCUUCAAUGGCGAAUCGAUAGUGAAUAGCUAGAGUGUGCGAAUUUCGCUUUGCUUUUUUUAAGAGAUUUUACAACUCGAUCGAAAUCGUUAAUGCUAGGCAAAGGCCAUGUGCUUCACGAUGGGCAUUUGUCGGGAGUGUUUUUUUUUUCAAGAGCUUCUAUGAUGUAAACUCUUGGAGAAACAAUAAUACGAGCUCCCGUUAU
rnacentral:lncRNA from 7 species